UGUUUGAUGUUGAUUGCACUUGCACAUGUAACAUACCACAACUUCAAAAAAUACCUUGUGCACAUGUUCUUGCGGCUUCCUCCAAUCAGCCGGGUGGUGCGAGAAUUCCAUAUAAUCGGUAUUGUUCACCAUGGUAUUCAACAAUUCAUUACCGAAAGACAUACAGUGAGAGUUUUCAUCCACCCGAUGAUAGUCGAUAUUGGCCCGAAUAUACUGGACCACGACUAAUUCCACCUCAAUACAAGAGACAAGCAGGUCGACCACGAUCUGUACGAAUUAGGGGAACCAUGGAUCAAGGACGAGAAGGAAUUGUCAAGCAUAAAAAAUGUAGUCUUUGCAAACAACCGGGACAUACUCGACCUCGUUGUCCAGCUAGACUCAAUAGAUAGCAAUUAAUUGGUAUAUACACCAUGGAGCCUGGACCGACGAGUGAUGAGGUCCUAUAUGACCAGCCUCGACACCGUUCACAUGUUAUAUCCUUGACAGAGAGAGGCCCGGAUAUUGUUAUGGUUGAUCAUAGCCUCAGCCAUAGCCGUUGGCAUCUAGAGGAUGAGCGCAUAAUAGCAGCUGUAGGACGGGCCGGCUUCUUGACAUGUUCAAAGCUUCGUUGGAUGAGGCUCGAUUGGCCCCUACUCACCGCUUUGAUAGAUAGGUGGAGGCCGGAGACCAACACUUUCCACUUCCGAAUGGGAGAGUCUACUAUUACGCUACAGGAUGUAGCUAUGAUACUUGGUCUCCGCAUAGAUGGUCCGUGCGUUACCGGCAGUGAUAGACAUUUU